CCUUCUGCUCUCCCAUGCAGCACCCUCGUGACGCACCCUUGGGGUGGCAGGUCCCUGGACCCCAAGAGCCGGCCAAUUUGGAUCCCAGAAUGCUCUCAGACUGUGAUGCGACACUUGAACCUCAGUGGGCUGGACCAACAAGCCCAGCUUGGAAAGGGAAGCAAUUUAUGAGGCCUGCCAUGACCCCCACCCCAGGCACCUGCCACACCUUACAUCGUGCCGUCCACCCCGUCCCUAAAGGUGGUGCUCCCAGGCAUGUGCUGGAGCCGGGCUGUGCUGUUCAGUAGCCAGGGCCACCCUGCGGUUGUCGAAUUUCCAGGAAUUCUGCAAACCGGUUGUUAAACACAGCCAUCAUUGAAAGUUAAAUUAUGUAAAUUUACAAUUAAAUAAGUUCUGUUAAAAUCAAAGGUAAUAAAUACUCAAAACUCAUCACUCCCUAGUUAUUUUACUAUUACCUAUGUUCUUUGGGUUAUUUAUACCUGUUGUAUCUGUAUGAGGAGCCCUGGGGCCUCAGUGAUUAAGGGCUUGGCUGCUAACCCAAAGGUCAGUGGUUCAAACCUACCAGCUGCUCCACAGCAGCAAGAUGUG